GACGAACCGUGCGAACGUUAUUCGGAAUCACUGGGCUUAAAGCGCGUGUAGGCGGGAGGGCACGUCCGUUGCUGAAAUCCCCCGGCUCAACCGGGGAACGGGCGCGGAUACGACUCUCCUCGAGGGGCGUAGGGGGACCUGGAACUUCCGGUGGAGCGGUGAAAUGCGUUGAGAUCGGAAGGAACGCCCGUGGCGAAAGCGAGGUCCUGGACAGGUCCUGACGCUGAGGCACGAAAGCUAGGGGAGCAAACAGG
rnacentral:rRNA from 1 species